AUGCGCGAGUCGCGCGACGCGUUCCUCAAACUUCCGCAAACUCUCUGGAGUCACUCGGUCAGUCAUGUCCAACAAUAACGCUAGCAGCAGCAGUGUGGCUGUGGCGCAGAAAGCCGUCAAACAGCUCAGACUAGAGGCCAAAAUACGACGAAUUAACGUUUCUCAAGCUGCCACAGACCUGAAGAACUUCUGCCUGCAGAACGCCCAUAAAGACCCGCUGCUGUUGGGCGUGCCAUCCAGCGACAACCCCUUCCGCCCGCCCAAGUCCUGCGGCCUCCUCUGAGCACGCAUAGGUUACCAACAAACUCCUGUCCUUCUAAAGCACCGUAGAUGCGUUUAAGCUGGUGAAGUGUUGCAGAUGAGGAGUCUGUUUCUACCUUUACACUACUCCACAAAGACCUCCUGGAGCACUACACAGACAAACACUACUUAGCAUAGCAAGAAAAGAAAUAUUUCCACUGUGUUCAUUUCCUUCACACUAAUUUCAUAUCUGCACAGUUGCUGUCUAUUUUUAUGAACUGUAUUAUGAGUAAUAAUGUUGACUAUGCUGAAUUUACACUGUAUGGUACAAGCAACUGUAAAAGUCUUGACACCCCCCAUGUUUUGAAAGCAAUUUUAUGUACCAAACGCUAUUUUAUUUGUAAUGCAUAUUUUAUAAAACAAAAAGACGUCCUUGAAGAUCGUAUGAAGUUUUACCUGGUUUAUGUGGAAGGAAUGGACAAAUUAAACUAUUAGAAUAUUUUUCCUAUCUAAUAUUAAAGGACAUUUUUCUACUAUAGUCUUUUACUAAUUUAUAGCCAGCAAGAUUUGGUUGGAAGGUCAUUUGUAAAUAUGUUGGACGUCUUCCUUUAUCUGACGCUCAUUUCGGGUCUUGGCAUCUUGACUAAUGAGCUGAUGAGUCGAGUCAGGUGUGUUUGAUGAGGAAGACAUUCAAUAUGUGCUGUGUUGAGGAAACCUUGAUUACCUGCUGAAUGAACAUGUUCAAAUUAAACCUUUAUUCUCGUUUCAUUGACUUUUUGCUAAACAGACUUUUAAAAAAUAAAGUGUUCUUGAUCAUU